rnacentral:rRNA from 1 species
GAUUCGUCACACUAUCAUUAACUGAAUCCAUAGGUUAAUGAGGCGAACCGGGGGAACUGAAACAUCUAAGUACCCCGAGGAAAAGAAAUCAACCGAGAUUCCCCCAGUAGCGGCGAGCGAACGGGGAGGAGCCCAGAGCCUGAAUCAGCAUGUGUGUUAGUGGAAGCGUCUGGAAAGGCGCGCGAUACAGGGUGACAGCCCCGUACACAAAAGCGCAUGUGCUGUGAGCUCGAUGAGUAGGGCGGGACACGUGGUAUCCUGUCUGAAUAUGGGGGGACCAUCCUCCAAGGCUAAAUACUCCUGACUGACCGAUAGUGAACCAGUACCGUGAGGGAAAGGCGAAAAGAACCCCGGCGAGGGGAGUGAAAAAGAACCUGAAACCGUGUACGUACAAGCAGUGGGAGCACAGGUUUACCUGUGUGACUGCGUACCUUUUGUAUAAUGGGUCAGCGACUUAUAUUCUGUAGCAAGGUUAACCGUAUAGGGGAGCCGGAGGGAAACCGAGUCUUAAUUGGGCGUUAAGUUGCAGGGUAUAGACCCGAAACCCGGUGAUCUAGCCAUGGGCAGGUUGAAGGUUGGGUAACACUAACUGGAGGACCGAACCGACUAAUGUUGAAAAAUUAGCGGAUGACCUGUGGCUGGGGGUGAAAGGCCAAUCAAACCGGGAGAUAGCUGGUUCUCCCCGAAAGCUAUUUAGGUAGCGCCUCGUGAAUUCAUCUCCGGGGGUAGAGCACUGUUUCGGCUAGGGGGCCAUCCCGGCUUACCAACCCGAUGCAAACUGCGAAUACCGGAGAAUGUUAUCACGGGAGACACACGGCGGGUGCUAACGUCCGUCGUGAAGAGGGAAACAACCCAGACCGCCAGCUAAGGUCCCAAAGUCAUGGUUAAGUGGGAAACGAUGUGGGAAGGCCCAGACAGCCAGGAUGUUGGCUUAGAAGCAGCCAUCAUUUAAAGAAAGCGUAAUAGCUCACUGGUCGAGUCGGCCUGCGCGGAAGAUGUAACGGGGCUAAACCAUGCACCGAAGCUGCGGCAGCGACGCUUAUGCGUUGUUGGGUAGGGGAGCGUUCUGUAAGCCUGUGAAGGUGUGUCGUGAGGCAUGCUGGAGGUAUCAGAAGUGCGAAUGCUGACAUAAGUAACGAUAAAGCGGGUGAAAAGCCCGCUCGCCGGAAGACCAAGGGUUCCUGUCCAACGUUAAUCGGGGCAGGGUGAGUCGACCCCUAAGGCGAGGCCGAAAGGCGUAGUCGAUGGGAAACAGGUUAAUAUUCCUGUACUUGGUGUUACUGCGAAGGGGGGACGGAGAAGGCUAUG